rnacentral:rRNA from 1 species
UACGUAGGGGGCAAGCGUUGUCCGGAUUUAUUGGGCGUAAAGGGCUCGCAGGCGGCUCGAUCAAGUCGUGCGUGAAAUCUCUCGGCUCAACUGGGAGCGGUCGUGCGAUACUGAUCAGCUUGAGGCCGGUAGGGGGAAGCGGAAUUCCGGGUGUAGUGGUGGAAUGCGUAGAUAUCCGGAGGAACACCAGUGGCGAAGGCGGCUUCCUGGACCGGUCCUGACGCUCAGGAGCGAAAGCGUGGGUAGCGAUCCGG